rnacentral:rRNA from 1 species
UACGUAGGGGGCAAGCGUUGUCCGGAAUCAUUGGGCGUAAAGAGCGUGUAGGCGGCUCGAUAAGUCUGCUGUGAAAGUCCAGGGCUCAACCCUGGAAGGCCGGUGGAAACUGUCGGGCUAGAGUCCGGAAGAGGCGAGUGGAAUUCCCGGUGUAGCGGUGAAAUGCGCAGAUAUCGGGAGGAACAGCAAUGGCGAAGGCAGCUCGCUGGGACGGUACUGACGCUGAGGAGCGAAAGCAUGGGGAGCGAACAGG